CCUACGGGAGGCAGCAGUGAGGAAUAUUGGUCAAUGGGCUUACGCCUGAACCAGCCAAGUCGCGUGAGGGAAGACUGCCCUAUGGGUUGUAAACCUCUUUUGUCAGGGAGCAAUUGGCGCUACGUGUAGCGUUAUCGAGAGUACCUGAAGAAAAAGCAUCGGCUAACUCCGUGCCAGCAGCCGCGGUAAUACGGAGGAUGCGAGCGUUAUCCGGAUUUAUUGGGUUUAAAGGGUGCGUAGGCGGAAUGCCAAGUCAGCGGGAAAAUCGCGGGGCUCAACCUCGCUCCGCCGUUGAAACUGGCGUUCUUGAGUGGGCGAGAAGUAUGCGGAAUGCGUGGUGUAGCGGUGAAAUGCAUAGAUAUCACGCAGAACUCCGAUUGCGAAGGCAGCAUACCGGCCCCCAACUGACGCUGAAGCACGAAAGCGUGGGUAUCGAACAGGAUUAGAUACCCGAGUAGUC
rnacentral:rRNA from 1 species